rnacentral:rRNA from 1 species
GGUCUUGACAUCCCGGGAAUCUUUCUGAAAGGAGAGAGUGCCUCGCAAGAGGAGCCUGGUGACAGGUGCUGCAUGGCUGUCGUCAGCUCGUGUCGUGAGAUGUUGGGUUAAGUCCCGCAACGAGCGCAACCCUUAUCCCCAGUUGCCAUCAGGUAAAGCUGGGAACUCUGGGGAGACUGCCGGUGAUAAACCGGAGGAAGGCGGGGAUGACGUCAAGUCCUCAUGGCCCUUACAUCCCGGGCUACACACGUGCUACAAUGGCAGGUACAGAGGGCUGCAAAGCCGCGAGGUAGAGCGAAUCCCAGAAAACCUGUCUCAGUCCGGAUUGAAGUCUGCAACUCGACUUCAUGAAGGCGGAAUCGCUAGUAACCGCGAAUCAGCAGGUCGCGGUGAAUACGUUCCCGGGCCUU